rnacentral:lncRNA from 10 species
UGGCAUUUCUUAGCACAUACGAGUUCGAAGAAAAUUUAUUACAGGUAGUUGCAGUCUGGCAUCAUGUGGCACAUCAUCACUGUCUCUUCUGCAAAUUUCUGAGAAUAAGAAGAAUUGGUUGAAAAAACUUCUAACAUCUCCAUCGGUUUGUAAUCAGCGAAUACAAUUAUGAAGCAAUUUCCUACCUGUUUUUUUAUUUGAUCCAUGAACUUUUCAAGAGAUGUGUGCUAUUGCUGUUGUGACCAUUAGCUCCCAUUUCUCAGAUGAGGAAACUGAGGCUCAGUGAGCCUUAAAUGACUUGCCCAAAACUAUAAGAUGGAAAUCUCUGCCCAUAAAAAUCUUCCACAGUAAACAGACACUGAUGCAAACACACUGGGCUUCCUUCUAUUACCUCAUCA